CGGACGGGUGAGUAACACGUGGAUAACCUACCUAUAAGACUGGGAUAACUUCGGGAAACCGGAGCUAAUACCGGAUAAUAUACUGAACUGCAUGGUUCAAUAGUGAAAGACGGUUUUGCUGUCACUUAUAGAUGGAUCCGCGCCGCAUUAGCUAGUUGGUAAGGUAACGGCUUACCAAGGCAACGAUGCGUAGCCGACCUGAGAGGGUGAUCGGCCACACUGGAACUGAGACACGGUCCAGACUCCUACGGGAGGCAGCAGAA
rnacentral:rRNA from 1 species